rnacentral:rRNA from 1 species
GUUAAACGGCCGCGGUAUUUUGACCGUGCAAAGGUAGCGCAAUCACUUGUCUUUUAAAUGAAGACCCGUAUGAAUGGUGAAACGAGGGCUUAACUGUCUCCCUUUUCUGGUCAAUGAAAUUGAUCUACCCGUGCAGAAGCGGGUCUAAUGCUACAAGACGAGAAGACCCUUUGGAGCUUAAGAUAAAGACCAACUAUGUUAAUAAUUAAAAAAUAUUAAACUAAGUAGGCCCUGGUCCCUAUCUUCGGUUGGGGCGACCACGGGAGAAAAACAAGCUCCCAUGCGGACAGGGUAACCCUAAAGCCAAGAAAGACAUCUCUAAGACACAGAACAUCUGACCAUAUUGAUCCGGCCAACCGACCAACGAACCAAGUUACCCUAGGGAUAACAGCGCAAUCCCCUUUCAGAGUCCAUAUCGACAAGGGGGUUUACGACCUCGAUGUUGGAUCAGGACAUCCUAAUGGUG